AUGGUCGAACCGGGGGCGUCACACUUCCAAUGCCAUAUAAAUCAACUUUCAGCCAUGAAGAUCAACUUUGAGGAUGAGGUGCAAGCAUUGUUGCUGCUGAGUUCCAUGCCUGAUAGUUGGAACACGCUUGUUGCGUCACUUAGCAAUUCAGCUCCGGAUGGGAAGCUGACUUUGGAGAUGGUGAAGAACACUAUGCUGAAUGAAGAAGCCAGAAAGAAGGAAAAGGGUGAUGCCUCUUCUUCUGAUGCGUAUGUGGCUGAAACCCAUGGGAAGAAUGAGAACCGUGGACGCAGCAAUACAAGAUUUCAGCAAGGCAAAAAUAAAUCCAGGGGGAGAUCAAAGUCAAAACAGAGAAAAGAUAUUACUUGCUUUCAUUGUGGCAAUCCGGGACACAUAAAGAGCGAGUGCAGGAAGUACAAAAGAGAGCUUGCAGAGGGGAAACUCACAAAGAAAAUCGAGCAAAAGGCUGAGAGCAGUUCAGCCAUGACCACAACAGAUGAAGACUAUCUAGUCAUUGAAAAUGAAGAUUGCUAUAGUGUUGUUCGUGAUGAUGCCAUGAGUUGGGUUGUGGAUUCAGGUGCGUCCUUCCACAUCACAUCACACAAGGAGAAUUUCACAUCUUACACUAGUGGUGUUACUGGCCAAGCGAGGAUGGGAAAUAGUGGUUCGUCGGCAAUUGUUGGCAAGGGCUCUAUAUGCAUUGAAACAAACACAGGUUGCAGAUUGGUGCUCGAUGAUGUGAGGCAUGUUCCCGACAUAAGGCUGAAUUUGUUGUCAGUGGGCAAGCUUGAUGAUAUCAAACAUCCUAGUUAUUUUUGUGAAGGAAAAUGGAAGCUCACCAAAGGCUCUUUGAUUGUGGCUCGAGGAAGCAAGCAAGGUAAUCUCUAUGUGACUAAGACCAAGUUGUGCAAUGAGGUGUUGAACAUUGCUGAAAAAGACACUUUGGUUGAAUUGUGGGACAAGAGGCUUGGGCAUAUGAGUGAUAAGGGCAUGCAUGCUCUUGCUCGCAUGGAGUACCUCCCUGAGUUGAAAGGUAUAUCCUUGAAACCCUGUGCACAUUGUUUUGCUGGCAAACAACAUAGGGUUGCAUUUCGUACACUCCCUCCAUAUUAUGCAGAAAAUGUUCUUGAUAUUGUGCACACGGAUGUUUUCUCCAUGACUGAAAAAUCUCAUGGUGGAGCAUUAUACUUUGUGACUUUUAUUGAUGACCAUUCCAGAAAGGUUUUUGUGUAUGUGCUGAAACACAAAUACCAGACGCUUGAAGCGUUCAAGGAGUUCCAUGCCAAGGUUGAGAGAGAAACUAGCAGGAAAAUGAAGUGCAUGAGAUCAGACAAUGGUGGUGAAUACCGUGGUACCUUUGAAAGGUAUUGCAGAAAGUUUGGCAUCAGGCUUGAGAAGAGUCCACCAAAGAUGCCUCAGCUCAGUGGUCUUGCUGAGAGAAUGAACAAGACACUCACAGAAAGGGUCACAGCUAUGCUCUCUCAUGCUCAUUUACCUAAUUCAUUUUGGGCUGAAGCAUUGAUGAAUGCUAUGUAUGUGGUUAACCUAUCUCCCUCAGUUCCUCUUGCAGGUGAUAUUCCUCAGAGAGUUUGGUCAGGGAAAGAGGUAUCAUACAAGCACUUGAAGGUCUUCGGUUGCAGGGCAUUUGUACAUGUUCCAAGGGACGAGAGAUCGAAGCUUGAUAGCAAGACAAAGCAGUGCAUCUACCUUAGCCAACCAAGUGAAGAGUUCGGCUACAGGUUAUGGGAUCCAGCCAAUAGAAAGAUUGUGAGAAGCCGAGAUGUGGUGUUCAUUGAAGAUGAAACAAUAAAAGAUAUUGGGAAACCAGAGAAGCCAAUGACCAACACACCUCAGGUUGACAUGGAUCCAAUCCGUCCUCCUCUUGUGCAUGACAAUCAUGGGGGAGAUGAUGACACUGAAGACAGUGGAGAUGCAACUGAUCAAGGCAGUACAAGUCAAAGUGACGAGCAGCCAUCAAGUGAUGAUGAUGAUGAAGUUGGUAAUGAUGAUGCCAACGAAAAUCCACCUGAUUCACCACCAGUGCAGCAGCAAAGAAGAAGUGAAAGAGGUCACAUUCCUUCUUCUAAAUAUCCACCACAUCAAUAUGUGUUGAUGACAGAUGCAGGUGAGCCCUCAUGCUAUGAGGAGGCAAUGUCUGAUGAGAACAAAGAAGAAUGGUCAGAAGCCAUGCAGGAUGAGAUGACUUCCCUGUACGAGAAUGAUACUUUUGAGUUGGUGAAUCUGCCAAAAGGCAAGAAAGCACUGAAGAACAAGUGGGUGUACUGA
rnacentral:rRNA from 1 species